UGCGUCGUUUUCAUAGUUAUGAAACUAAGUCGUUUUUACAUUCAAUAACUAGAUUUUGUUGAAUGAAUAACAGAAAUCAAUAAUUAAAUAUCUCAACUUGCACAUUUGGUGUGGUCUCCACAAUCAUUCAUGUCGAUUUUGUUGGGUCGUUGGCUGAGUUGGAGACUUGGAAUCACGUUUUCAGUUUACUUGCUUGCUAAAUGAAAAAACAGCAGAAAGGGAACCCAUUAAUUUGUGCACACACACAUAUAUAUUAAAAUACAAAUGUAUGUGGCCCUCCACAACACAGCGACCUUACCUGCAGAAACAGGGUGGGAUGGCUCUGGCUCUUCAUUUUAAUUCCACCACUUGCUUCUUGCAUUUCUUCUCUUCAUGACCCACACCAUCUAUUGCUGCCUGUCACUUCUAUUCAACACUCUGUUAAGGAUAGGUGUGACAUGCACCCAAUCACAGGCUUAAUUGUCUUAAUUUCUCAUUAUUAG
rnacentral:lncRNA from 1 species